CAGAGCGUAGCUUAACCCCCCAAAGCGUCCGGCUUACACCCGGUAGAUUUCGCACCACCCGAACGYUCUGA
rnacentral:tRNA from 1 species